GUGACAGCCGCCGCGGUAAUACGGAGGGUGCAAGCAUUAAUCGGAUUUAUUGGGCGUAAAGGGCGCGUAGGCUGGACGAUAAGUCAGAUGUGAAAUCCCGGGGCUCAACCUCGGAACAGCAUUUGAAACUGUCAUUCUAGAGGCUAGAUGGAGAAAACGGAAUUCCACAAGUAGCGGUGAAAUGCGUAGAUAUGUGGAAGAACACCGGUGGCGAAGGCGGUUUUCUAAUUUAGACCUGACGCUGAGGCGCGAAAGUAAGGGGAGCGAACAGGAUUAGAAACCCUCGUAGUCC
rnacentral:rRNA from 1 species